CCUACGGGAUGCACCAGUGGGGAAUAUUGGACAAUGGGGGCAACCCUGAUCCAGCCAUGCCGCGUGUGUGAAGAAGGCCUUUUGGUUGUAAAGCACUUUAAGCAGGGAGGAGAGGCUAAUGGUUAAUACCCAUUAGAUUAGACGUUACCUGCAGAAUAAGCACCGGCUAACUCUGUGCCAGCAGCCGCGGUAAUACAGAGGGUGCGAGCGUUAAUCGGAAUUACUGGGCGUAAAGCGAGUGUAGGUGGCUCAUUAAGUCACAUGUGAAAUCCCCGGGCUUAACCUGGGAACUGCAUGUGAUACUGGUGGUGCUAGAAUAUGUGAGAGGGAAGUAGAAUUCCAGGUGUAGCGGUGAAAUGCGUAGAGAUCUGGAGGAAUACCGAUGGCGAAGGCAGCUUCCUGGCAUAAUAUUGACACUGAGAUUCGAAAGCGUGGGUAGCAAACAGGAUUAGAUACCCUCGUAGUC
rnacentral:rRNA from 1 species